UUCUCUCUCAUAUUUAUUUUUUAUUUCACUUAUAAAAUUAAUGGUAAGAGAUCACACUUCAUUUUCUCAAGUGUUUAAAAAAUUGGAGAGGAUCCAUUUCCCUAAUUGCAUAG